rfam:Dipodomys ordii contig_11660, whole genome shotgun sequence.
GGGAAUGUGGCUCAGUGGUAGAGUGCUUGCCUUGCAUGCAUGGAGACCUGGGUUCAAUUCAUCAGCACCCA